UUCUGUCAAGCUGAUCUACAGCAAGUUAUGAUCUGAGCCUCUGAAUCUUUAGUGUUAUACUGCAAGACAGCCCAGAAGAAGUUAGUUUUAUUAAAGUCUGGAGCCAUCAGAAAACCUGCCAUGCAGAUGUGAUCACACAAAAACAGCAGCCUCUACCCGCAACAACAGAAUAUAAAAGGUGUUGGGAUUUGCGCUGAGCAUCUCUGGAAUUCCUAACACAUGGUUUUUGUAGUCCUGUGGAGAAAAAUGUGAACAUGGUUUAUAGUCCAUCCCCCAGGGGAAGAGAAGAGGAGAGCCAUGCACCAGUGGGGGCAGAGCAGCUUGCACAAGGGGCAGGGAAAGAAGUCGUUCUC